GUCUCCGUUGGUGAACCAGCGGAGGGAUCAUUACUGAGUUAUCAAAACUCCAAACCCUUUGUGAACCUUACCAUCGUUGCCUCGGCGUGAGCUACGGCUACCCUGUAACUACCCUGGAGCUACCCUAGAGUUACCCUAUAGCUACCCUGCACUUACCCUGCAGCUACCCUAUAGCUACCCUGGAGCUACCCUGGAGCUACCCUGUAGUCGGCUUCGGCCCGCCGAAGGACCGUUAAACUCUUGUUUUUACCACUGUUUCUCUGAAUUUUAAACNAAAAUUAGUUAAAACUUUCAACAACGGAUCUCUUGGUUCUGGCAUCGAUGAAGAACGCAGCGAAAUGCGAUAAGUAAUGUGAAUUGCAGAAUUCAGUGAAUCAUCGAAUCUUUGAACGCACAUUGCGCCCAUUAGUAUUCUAGUGGGCAUGCCUAUUCGAGCGUCAUUUCGACCCCUAAGCCCCUGUUGCUUAGCGUUGGGAAUCUACGGCGUAGUUCCUCAAAGUUAGUGGCGGAGUUAGGGUACACUCUCAGCGUAGUAAUUUCUCUCGCUCGUGUGGUGGCCCUGGCUGCUAGCCGUUAAAACCCCUAUAUUUUCUAGUGGUGAC
rnacentral:rRNA from 1 species